GUGCUCGCUUUGGCAGCACAUAUAUUAAAAUUGAACCAAUACAGAGAAGAUUAGAAUGGCCCCUUUGCAAGCAUGACAGGAAAAUUCGUGAAGCAUCCCAUAUAUUU